CGUGCCCUCAGAUCACUGGUUCUGUAACACUAUGUAAACCUGAUCACGAACGCGAUUUGUCCUCUCUCGCAUCUGGUUCCGUCUGCGGAGGAUGAAAUAAACGUCGUCUGUGGAACGCGCCAUGCAGCGGGCCCUCCUUGGCUCCUUAUCUCGGUUUUUUGAAACAAGCUUUCGGCUUCAGGCACAGUUCAGACACUGAAACCAGCAAUUUUUUACUCCUGGCAUGAGUCUCUUGGUGGGAUCCUGAUUUUUCUAACUACUGCUAAUCAGGGACAAAUCCACUUAUAGGAGAUGAUCAGCUCCCCACUGCUCUAAGUGGAUAAUGCUGCUACACUGACCUUCACCAGCAGACAGUGGCCAAGGAUAAAAUACCACAAUAAAAAACUGGUAUCAGCGAGAGCUCAGCUUAUGUUUCUGUUUGUGGCACAACAACUCUCCAUUUGGUUAGUUUUUUCUUUAAAAUAGUUUGCUAUGUCCAUCCCCAACAGCUGCUUUUUUCCCUUUUUAUUAGACGUAUCUCAGAUGUAGCCCCUGUAACUUGACUUUUCUUACUCAGAUGCUUGGAGAAGUCAGUCCUGAAAAUUGCUGGGUUUAUAUGUACAUUAUGAUUUGAAAGCAAACCAUGGUAUACAUUAGGCCCUAGCUUUUUAAUUAUCAGUUCAUAAUGAAGGGCUGUCUUUGCAGUGUAAAAAGUAAUUUCCUGAAGGUUUCCAAGGUUCCCUGCAGGGUUUCCAAGGCUUGGAAGAAAAUAUAGAUCAUUUGACAAUGAGUCUCUCCAUGUUCACAGUGUAGAAUGGAAAAUUCCAGCUUUGCCAUAAUUGCCUGAUCCCAGAAAAGCAAGUAGCUAUAUACAUAGCAAGCCAGGAGGCAAUGCUGGGAGAGCAGUACACCCACACCAUGAGCAGGCAUAUGUCUUUCCAUGUAUAUAAAGAGCAUUAAAACCAGAAAUGGAUGAUUCAAGCAGUAAAUCUUAAAAAACUACAAAGAAAAAUAUGGAUGGAAGUGCACUCCAUAUGAUAGGACAAAGUUCAGCAGUUUUAAGAGAAAAUACAAAGUUUUCUUCUUUAGAAAGAUCUUUCUCUUCCCUGGCCCUGCAUUUCAUCUAAGUGCUAGCCUCCAUUAAACUAUUCAAGCAAGAAAACCAGAAAGUCAAAAUCAUAAAGCCAAAUUAAACUGAGGAACCAACGCCAAGGUUUUACACUUGAAAAUGGUCAACUGCCAAACCCACCACCGUUGAGAGACUUUCUGAUUGCUCCCAGUUUUCCAAACAAGAUGUACAGACACUGCCAGGGUAUGCAGGCUUUUCUACAAUCAAGAAGCUUUUUAUUUCCUAAAAAGAAACAAUAGAACUUCAGAGAAAGCUGCCCCAAAGUGCAGAUGUAGUGAAACACCAAGAAUGUGGUACAGGAGCUGUACAAAGAUGACUAUAAUAGCUAUGCCAGCCUGAAGCAAGUUAACAACUCACUCCUUAAGAGACUCAAUUCACUGCCUUUUUACAUCUAAACUGAUCUUUUCUUCAGCAGAAUUUAAGUCCUCAUCUUCAGUUCACGCCCAACUUACUACCUACUGGGAAAAAGGCCCCCAUGGCCUCUUGAGAGACAGCAGAUGCUUCCAGAGCAGGAACUCCUGGAGCCCAAGGAGGCCCGUGCAGCCUCACAGGGAGAGGCAAAGUACAGGUGAAACAAGCCCUGCACUCACUCUGCUGUGGUUCAGCAAGGGAGGUGAUGGCACGGUUUAGCAGCAGGAGAAGGAGUCACCCUGUCCCUAUCCAGCCACCUCUCAGACACAGCACUGUGACAGCCUAGGACCAUAGACCUCAUGUGAUAAAUCCUAUUUUUGAAUUUCAGUAUUAAAUCAUUGAGGUCUUACCUCCUACAAGAUCUUUUGGAUGGGGUUUCUGCUGCUCCUUUAAUGACUGUCUUACCAACCAGUCAUUUGCUUCUGCAUUUUGUAUUAGCCAGCUAAUCUUCUCUUUUCCCUCCACAGCCUGAUCACUGCUCCACUACAGAACCUCUCCUCACUUGGACAAAGUCACUUCUACACAAAUCUUUUCAGAUCCUCAGUUUCACAGUGUCCUCACAAGUCUUCCAUGACUGCCAUUAAAGAUUUGCCAUUCCUAGACAGCUUUUCUUUCCAAUUUUCAUCCCAGUAUGUCUUAUCUCAACUCUCAGAUUUCUCUCCAGCUCCAUUAUUUUGGAUUUCUAUCAUCAUGUCUGUGCAUUGUCCUUCUCUGUGUCGUUUUCCAUUAAUUUCCACAAUACUCACUAUUGCCACUCUAAAACCAAUAUAUUUCUACUAAGCCUGACAAAUAUUUAUCUGUCAAAUAGAACAUACUUUGGAAUUAAAAGAGAAAACACUAUAUUACAGCAGAAUCUAGUUUUGGUUUCUGGGCAUGAUCCUAGAUUCACUGCUAACAACAGAACUGUUAUAUCAGGCACGUUGUGCAGACUUUUUACUUGUUUAUUUGAAACAUGAUUUUUGGAAACAGAAUAUUCCCACAUACUUUCUCCACACCUGCUGCUGAAAUGUGAGUGUAGAGCAUGUGCUUUGUCCACAUCACAAGCUAGAACAUACACAGAGCACAAUUCCUGCAAAGAAAAAGGCUGCUUUUUACAAACUUUUUUUAUUUCUAUCAAUUUAUGUGAAUAUCCUACUGAGUUAUUUCACUUAGGAGAGAACUCUGCAGUCAGGGCAUAGGGUUUAAUUAGCUGCUAUCAAGUUAUUAAGCCAGUUCAUAAGGUGUGAAACUGGCUAAUCUACAUUCUGUGGUCAGCUGUUUCCCACAUUCCUUCUCCAAAGCAAACACCUUCUAUAUCCACUUAUUAUUUACCAAAUGUGCUUUGUUACUUGCAACAUAAAUAGGUUUUCAUCCUGUGUGUUAUUAUUUUCCAAACUGCAAGUUUGGAAAAAUUACUUUCUCAUUUUGGAGCUGUUCUAUCCAAAUGGCUGAUAUUUUUUUCCAAAAUCUCCAGCUCUCCUUGUUCCUCUUUUCAUUUGAUUGCAAUUGCAAACUAAACCACAGUUUAGCCUGGGCUUCCCUCAGGAAGGGAUCUGCAGGCACCGGGAGAUAGGAGUGCUAGUGCUAAUGGAGGGUUGGAGAGAGACAAAGUGUUAAGAAAUGCAAAAACCCUCUAGUCCAAAGGUCUGAAUCCUGAGGUAGGUUUGAGGAACAAACAAUUUCCAUAGCAUGUGCUGAGAAUACACAAUCUGCCCUGCAUAUACUUUGAAGCACUGGAUCAAAACACCUGUUACAAGGGAAUCAAACUGUUCCUGGAGGUUUCAAAGGCUAAUACAUGCCUUGCUGCAGCCCACAGCUCCAUGGCCCUCCAAGUGGUAGGGGCAUUCUGCAUCUUAAUAGCAGGACUUAGAGCCAAUUCACAGGUUACUAAUUUCUGUCCUAAAUCCAAUACUGCAAGCUGGAGCUUAUUUAAUGUGACACAGGACUGUCAUUCCUCCACCAAGAGCCUUGUCACGUUUCCAUUCCUUGCACAGGCAGUCCCAUUUUCAGUCUACUUCUUUGAAUGGAAAAUGUAUCAUCACUAAGAUCAGGAGUCCAACUGUACUGCUGUUCUACUCCCUAUUUAAAAUUUUGUAGCAGAAGGACUAUAAUAAUAAGAAAAUCCACAUCUUACAGAAAAGGUCAGCAUGAACUUACGUAGUUUGAUGCAAGAUCUGGAUGCAGAUAAUCAAUUCCUGCAAUAAAACAAUGACAGAACAGAAACCAAAGGUUAAGAGUUUCAAAAAAGAUUUUCUAAUGAUCACAGAACAAGAUUCCUUUACGACCACAGGAAAAUAAUCAUGCCAAAUAAUGCAACUGAUUGAAGUGAGAUUCCAGUUUUAAAAUGUGGACUUUUCAAUUAUUUAUGUCAAAAUCCAGAUGCCGAUUGAAAAAGUGAGCUGAAUGACAAAGUUUACUGUUUUGUAGACUAGAUCACAUUUACUUAUAAGGAUUAGUUUAAAUGACAAUUUAUCUUUGUAUGAGUUUUGUCAUCUCAAAGCAUACCAAAACUAACAAGAUUGGUAAGCACUGGAUCAGUACAGGAUAGAAAACCAAGUGUUUUUAACCACUGAAAAUUGUAAACUAAGUAGAAAACUACCUAGAGUAGACUUGGGGUGAUCACUAAGGCAAACAUUUCAGAUUAUGUGCAUGAAAGAGAACUUUUAAUAUUGAAUUAAACCAUUUUAGCAAAUACCUGUGCAUAGGCUUCACAUUUUGGUAGCAUGCUAAGGAUUCUAACAGAGCACUGAUGUGUAAUAUACUCAUUCUAUUGCAUGGCAUCUUUCUACACAUGGCAAAUGUACAAAUCCCAGGGGAUGGUGUAACAGAGGCAGCAGAUCUACACUCAGAUAGGAUGACCUAUUACAUAGCCAGUUAAAGCAUACAAAGAAUGGUCGCCAAUCUCAUGUUACUUUUUCAUCAUCACGACUAUCCUGUUUUUCCAACCACCUCACCAGUAUAGAUUAUAUUUUAUUUGCAAGGAGAAUGCCAUAUUGUCAUAGUUAUUCUGAUGAAAAGAUUACUUCUCAUUUUUAGGGUCCUUAUUACUCAUUAGGAAACCCUUGUUACUGAUCCACAUAGUAGAUGGACAAUAAAAAUCUCAAUGAAGAAUCCUGUUAUUCAGGCCCUCUUUUUUAGAGUUACUGGAAACAAACGAUAAGGCAAAUUACUCCCUUCUCUAAAAGCUGUAUCUGAUGGACCAUCAGUUUUAUUGACACAAAACUCAAAUAGUUUGCCAUCAUUCCCAUCGCAGUCAUGCCUUACUAAUUUGAAAGCCAAGUCCUGCCUUUGUGAGAUCAGUGAAACUGUGACUCAAGAGAUCAUCUCUCAGAUGAGAUUGAUCUUUCAUCAGUACACAGAUCAGGUUGCUCAAGGCCUUAUCCAAACUGGCCUUGAACACUGCCACAACCUCCCUUGGCAACAUGUUACAGUAUCUCACCACCCCCAUAGCAAAGAAUUUCUUCCUAAUAUCCAGAUGUCUGAGUUUACUUUCUUGCUUCCACAAAAACCUUGCCAUAGAAGUAAGCAGGUGAGGAUAGAUCCCAGCUGACCCUAGAAAACAUAUAUGGAUACAGACAUUUUAUUGAUUUUUAGUAUUAUUCAGCCCCAUUACAGGAAUAUACUCAAAAUUUAUUCCAAAGAAGAGUGUUGAGAGACUGCAUGGAAUUCCUGUACUUCAGCAAGAACCCAUAAGUAGAACAGCUGUAAUUUCAACUGUACCUUUUAUAUUCAUCUUUCCUGAACUUAGUCUCAAAUUAGUAAUAUAUCUAAUAUGCAGAUCUUUAUUGGCAUUCAGCAUGAAAAUGUUUAAUUAUUUCAGCUACCAAGUAUGACUUUGAAAAUAAUGUAAUCCAAAAAACAUUUUCUUAAAUGUUUUUUGCACAGCAAUUACAUCCUCCAGUCACUGCCUACAGAAGUUAAGGGGAGUUUUUCCUUAGGUUUAACAGCCAUUACAGUGUGCCCUGGAAAAUAUCUGAGUGGUAAUUGCAAGCUACUUUUUAUGCUUGGAUAUCCAUGCUUCAGUACCCCUAUCUUUGUAUCAUAUUUUCCCUGAAGAUCUCAAAGUAUUUAUGUAGGCUGGCAGUCUCACCACUACAAGCAAUCAAUUACUACUUUUUAAUUUUUUUUUUACUUCAAUUAGACGAAAAAUGUCUACUUUAAAGUAUUAAAUUAACACUCAGUCUUCACUUACCAUCAUCCAUAAUUCCUAUGGUUACUCCCUUCCCUGUGUAUCCCAGCUCCCAUGCUUCAGCUACAUUAAGGUCAAGUCCAGGAGUCCCAUCUGCUUGACCAGUGUUAAUCUAAUACAUCAGUGAAAAAGAAAAAUAGCUUUUUUUACUUGACUGAUUUUUUCCUUUAUGUCUUUGCAUGUAUCUUUGGUAUGGAAAAUACAUCUCAUGUUUUGGAGUACACAUCUGUCCAUAAUCAUAUCUACUGCAAUAAUGCAGCUGUAAAGAAAAGAAAAAACCUGAAAAAAUCCAAUACUGGCAAAAUUCAAGUUUUUGUGGUUUAUAAGAUUUGGUUAAACACUGAAUUUUCUGAACCCUAAAAAAGGACUUUUCUACUUAACAUGUCAGGCCAGUGGGUCAAUCCAGGAAAAAAGAUCAAUUGAUUUUACAGAGUACUUUUUUAUGAACAGGAAAUGCUUUCUUCUUGAAAGCAAGGAUCUACUGUAUAGCUUCCUAAAUUGUUGUUAUUUUCAGCAUUGCAACAUUUUGAUUAACUACCAGAAAAUAAGUGAAUUAAUUCUCACUUUAGUUUAUCGACUCAUCAAGGAUAAAAUCCCAUCCACACUAAUGUGCCCCCAUUCAUUUGAAAACUUUUGCCUUAAAAACAAGAAAAACUGCAGCCAUAUUGGAUGGAUUAAUGAAAUGUAAGAAAUUGAUUAAGAGGAAAAAACAUUACUCUUAAGCAAAAAUACCCUUCUUAAUUUAACAAGGCAUUUACUGAGUAUUUCAUCAUAAAUAUGUUGCAACAAUGUAACUGACCAGAAAUACUUUAUCAACUUUUUAAAUAAAAAAAAUCAUUUCAUUUCAAAGUAAAAAUAUAACUUUUCUUUUAUGACUAAAGACUUCUCCCUCUAAAAAAAUGAAACAGAAAAACUGAAUUAAUUUAGCAAAAUAUUAAUUUCCUUUGACAUUAGCUUAAACCAAAAUUCAUCAGUUUUCAGCUGUUCUGUUUUUGACAAAAGAAAUUACAUUCAAAUUUCCAUAAGAAAAGAAAAGCUUCAACUUUUUAGCAAACACUAGAAUCUUUUGUUAUAAGUCCAUAACAAUAUUUUACCUGGCAACAGCUCAGAGACAUGAUUCAUAUGCAGUUUUAGGGGUCACAUCAGCACACCAGCAAUGCCCACAGUGGACAUUGUGGACAUCAAUACAGUUCUCUUUCAAGCCUUUUAAGAAUCUUUCCAUUGACUGAAAUGAAAUUUUUCUCUUGAAAUAUGCUGGAUCUUCCCAAUAUAAACGGCGUACAAUUAAAACCAACACAACAGAGCCUUGGAUCCAUACCCAAGUCCUCAUGGUGCAUUUGGAAAGAACUGUUGGAAAACACUGCAACUGCACAGAAUGGCUUGGAUAACAUUUAUUUAGUUAUGAUUACUGUGAUUUUCUCUCAAAACUUACCAGGUACCACUGCUUUGUAAAUAAAGGAUCAUUCAUGUUGA